rnacentral:snoRNA from 1 species
AAGACUGUGCUUUCAAGGAUCAUUUCUAUAGUUGGUGAUUGGAGAAGGGUCUGUAUGAAAAGCUGGUCUUGCUAACCAUGAUGAAGAGUUAUAGUGUUUCCUUUUAAGCAUGAUAGUAGCAGACAGUGCUGGUCUGUACCAGUUACUUUCUGCUGUAGAGGAUUGUCCUGUUUUUCAUCAGAAAAGCAGGGGAAGGAACCACAGUCUGAGUGGUU